AAACAACAAGAUGAAAUUAUUGAAGAAGAAAUUGUGAAACAACUAGAACAAAUGACUACAGAAAUGAUUGUGAAACAACAAGAUGAGAUUAUGGAAUUAGAAAUUGUGG